GAGGGUAUAGCUAAGCGUUAGAGCACAUACUUAGCAUGCACAAGGUCCUGGGUUCAAUCCCCAGUAUCUCCA
rnacentral:tRNA from 1 species